GAGCAAAAACAGGACAGCAUCAAGCAUCAGCCAUGAGGAUCCUUUUUCUUCUCCUUGCCACCCUCCUAAUCUUCAUCCAAAUCAUUCCAGGAAAUGCUUAUGAAGCACCUGAUACCCAGGAGUGCAGGUCAAUCAGAGGUUUCUGCAAGUACGGGAGCUGCCCUGGAAGAACUCGACAUACUGGAGGGACGUGUCAAUGGGAAACAUUGCUCUGCUGUAAAUCCAUCUAUGCUCCCUGAGUCCAUCACAACACCUCUGGGAUUCUGAAGGAAUGCCUAUCUGCUUCUGAAACCAAUGUCCACCUUCAGAGUCACAAACGAAGAGCUGUUUAUUUGAGCUGCAAAAGAAUUUAAGCACUGGAGAAAAUCUAGAAUGAACGCUCCUCUUUCCCACAUAUAGUUACAUGCAUAUAUAUAUAUGUUUUUGCCUGGUGAUAUAACUUCUUCUUAUAACGCGUUAGAGCUCUACAGCUUUCUGCAUGCAGUUGUGGACGUGAAAGAAGUUCACAACAAUUUGGGAAUGGUUAACCAAGAUACGGGAUUAGGCUGCAAUGUCAGAAGGUCAUGUAUUAUUUGCACUGAGUCAUCCGUCCUUUCGUUUGUGAUCAUUUUUUAAUUCUGCAUAGCCUGAAUAAAAAAAUAAAAUAAAUUAUAUCACCAA